GCAGAAUGACUCUCGGCAACGGAUAUCUAGGCUCUUGCAUCGAUGAAGAACGUAGCGAAAUGCGAUACUUGGUGUGAAUUGCAGAAUCCCGUGAACCAUCGAGUCUUUGAACGCAAGUUGCGCCCGAAGCCACUAGGUUGAGGGCACGCCUGCCUGGGUGUCACA
rnacentral:rRNA from 1 species